GCAACCCUUAUCCUUUGUUGCCAGCGGUUAGGCCGGGAACUCAAAGGAGACUGCCAGUGAUAAACUGGAGGAAGGUGGGGAUGACGUCAAGUCAUCAUGGCCCUUACGACCAGGGCUACACACGUGCUACAAUGGCAUAUACAAAGAGAAGCGACCUCGCGAGAGCAAGCGGACCUCAUAAAGUAUGUCGUAGUCCGGAUUGGAGUCUGCAACUCGACUCCAUGAAGUCGGAAUCGCUAGUAAUCGUAGAUCAGAAUGCUACGGUGAAUACGUUCCCGGGCCUUGUACACACCGCCCGUCACACCAUGGGAGUGGGUUGCAAAAGAAGUAGGUAGCUUAACCUUCGGGAGGGCGCUUACCACUUUGUGAUUCAUGACUGGGGUGAAGUCGUAACAAGGUAACCGUAGGGGAACCUGCGGUUGGAUCACCUCCUUA
rnacentral:rRNA from 1 species